rnacentral:tRNA from 1 species
GGCGGUGUAGCUCAGGGGUAGAGCAAGCGGCUCAUAUCCGCUGUGUCCGGGGUUCGAAUCCCUGCACCGCCA